GAUGAACGCUGGCGGCGUGCCUAAUACAUGCAAGUCGAGCGAACGGACGAGAAGCUUGCUUCUCUGAUGUUAGCGGCGGACGGGUGAGUAACACGUGGAUAACCUACCUAUAAGACUGGGAUAACUUCGGGAAACCGUAGCUAAUACCGGAUAAUAUUUUGCACCGCAUGGUUCAAAAGUCACAGACGGUCUUGCUGUCACUUAUAGAUGGAUCCGCGCUGCAUUAGCUAGUUGGUAAGGUAACGGCUUACCAAGGCAACGAUGCAUAGACGACCUGAGAGGGUGAUCGGCCACACUGGAACUGAGACACGGUCCAGACUCCUACGGGAGGCAGCAGUAGGGAAUCUUCCGCAAUGGGCGAAAGCCUGACGGAGCAACGCCGCGUGAGUGAUGAAGGUCUUCGGAUCGUAAAACUCUGUUAUUAGGGAAGAACAUAUGUGUAAGUAACUGUGCACAUCUUGACGGUACCUAAUCAGAAAGCCACGGCUAACUACGUG
rnacentral:rRNA from 1 species